rnacentral:rRNA from 1 species
GACGAACGCUGGCGGCGUGCCUAAUACAUGCAAGUCGAACGCAGUGGGGACGGGUGAGUAACACGUGGGUAACCUCCCAUCAGAGGGGAUAACACUUGGAAACAGGUGCUAAACCGCUACUGUUGGAUGGACCCGCGGUUCAUUAGCUAGUUGGUGAGGUAACGGCUCACCAAGGCCACGAUGCAUAGCCGGCCGUGGAGGGGGAACUGCCACAAUGGGACUGAGACAAGGCCCAGAAUCCUACGGGAGGCAGGAGGAGGGAAUCGUCCGCCAAUGGCGAAAGUCUGAACGAACAACGGCGCGGGAGUGAAGAAGGUUUUCGGGUCGUAAAACCCUGUUGUUAGGGAAGCGGUAUCUAACCAGAAAGCCACGGCUAACUACGUGCCAGCAGCCGCGGUAAUAC